rnacentral:rRNA from 1 species
GAAUUGACGGGGGCCCGCACAAGCGGUGGAGCAUGUGGUUUAAUUCGAAGCAACGCGAAGAACCUUACCAGGUCUUGACAUCCUUUGACCACUCUGGAGACAGAGCUUUCCCUUCGGGGACAAAGUGACAGGUGGUGCAUGGUUGUCGUCAGCUCGUGUCGUGAGAUGUUGGGUUAAGUCCCGCAACGAGCGCAACCCUUGAUUUUAGUUGCCAGCAUUUAGUUGGGCACUCUAAAGUGACUGCCGGUGCAAGCCGGAGGAAGGUGGGGAUGACGUCAAAUCAUCAUGCCCCUUAUGACCUGGGCUACACACGUGCUACAAUGGAUAGUACAAAGGGUCGCGAAGCCGCGAGGUGGAGCUAAUCCCAUAAAACUAUUCUCAGUUCGGAUUGUAGGCUGCAACUCGCCUACAUGAAGCCGGAAUCGCUAGUAAUCGUGGAUCAGCAUGCCACGGUGAAUACGUUCCCGGGCCUUGUACACACCGCCCGUCACACCACGAGAGUUUGUAACACCCGAAGUCGGUAGGGUAACCUUUAUGGAGCCAGCCGCCGAAGGUGGGACAGAUAAUUGGGGUGAAGUCGUAACAAGGUAGCCGUAUCGGAAGGUGCGGCUGGAUCACCUCCUUUCUAAGGAA